rnacentral:rRNA from 1 species
AGUGAACGCUGGCGGUAGGCCUAACACAUGCAAGUCGAACGGCAGCACAGUAAGAGCUUGCUCUUACGGGUGGCGAGUGGCGGACGAGUGAGGAAUACAUCGGAAUCUACUUUUUCGUGGGGGAUAACGUAGGGAAACUUACGCUAAUACCGCAUACGACCUACGGGUGAAAGCAGGGGAUCUUUGGACCUUGCGCGAUUGAAUGAGCCGAUGUCGGAUUAGCUAGUUGGCGGGGUAAAGGCCCACCAAGGCGACGAUCCGUAGCUGGUCUGAGAGGAUGAUCAGCCACACUGGAACUGAGACACGGUCCAGACUCCUACGGGAGGCAGCAGUGGGGAAUAUUGGACAAUGGGCGCAAGCCUGAUCCAGCCAUACCGCGUGGGUGAAGAAGGCCUUCGGGUUGUAAAGCCCUUUUGUUGGGAAAGAAAAGCAGCAGGUUAAUACCCCGCUGUUCUGACGGUACCCAAAGAAUAAGCACCGGCUAACUUCGU